rnacentral:tRNA from 1 species
ACGUCGAUAGCUCAGUUGGUAGAGCGGAGGACUGUAGAUCCUUAGGUCGCUGGUUCGAAUCCGGCUCGACGGA